GACGAACGCUGGCGGCGUGCUUAACACAUGCAAGUCGAACGGAAAGGCCCUGCUUUUGUGGGGUGCUCGAGUGGCGAACGGGUGAGUAACACGUGAGUAACCUGCCCUUGACUUUGGGAUAACUUCAGGAAACUGGGGCUAAUACCGGAUAGGAGCUCCUGCUGCAUGUUGGGGGUUGGAAAGUUUCGGCGGUUGGGGAUGGACUCGCGGCUUAUCAGCUUGUUGGUGGGGUAGUGGCUUACCAAGGCUUUGACGGAUAGCCGGCCUGAGAGGGUGACCGGCCACAUUGGGACUGAGGUACGGCCCAGACUCCUACGGGAGGCAGCAGUGGGGAAUAUUGCACAAUGGGCGGAAGCCUGAUGCAGCAACGCCGGGUGCGGGAUGACGGCCUUCGGGUUGUAAACCGCUUUCGCCUGUGACGAAGCGUGAGUGACGGUAAUGGGUAAAGAAGCACCAGCUAACUACGUG
rnacentral:rRNA from 1 species